rnacentral:rRNA from 1 species
UACGUAGGGUGCAAGCGUUAUCCGGAAUUAUUGGGCGUAAAGAGCUCGUAGGCGGUUUGUCGCGUCUGCCGUGAAAGUCCGGGGCUCAACUCCGGAUCUGCGGUGGGUACGGGCAGACUAGAGUGAUGUAGGGGAGACUGGAAUUCCUGGUGUAGCGGUGAAAUGCGCAGAUAUCAGGAGGAACACCGAUGGCGAAGGCAGGUCGUCUGGGCAUUAACUGACGCUGAGGAGCGAAAGCAUGGGGAGCGAACAGG